rnacentral:rRNA from 1 species
AUUGAACGCUAGCGGGAUGCCUUACACAUGCAAGUCGAACGGAGUGGCGAACGGGUGAGUAAUGUAUCGGAACGUGCCCAGUAGCGGGGGAUAACUACGCGAAAGCGUAGCUAAUACCGCAUACUCUUGGAGCGGCCGAUAUCGGAUGAGCUAGUUGGUGGGGUAACGUCUCACCAAGGCGACGAGCCCUAGCUGGUUUGAGAGGAUGACCAGCCACACUGGGACUGAGACACGGCCCAGACUCCUACGGGAGGCAGCAGUGGGGAAUUUUGCACAAUGGGGGAAACCCUGAUCCAGCCAUGCCGCGUGUGCGAAGAAGGCCUUAGGGUUGUAAAGUACUUUUGGUAGGGAAGCGUUACCUGCAGAAGAAGCACCGGCUAACUACGUGCCAGCAGCCGCGGUAAUAC